rnacentral:tRNA from 1 species
GCUCCUGUGGCGAAACGGAAAACGCAGCUAGCUCAAACCUAGUGUAAUUGUGAGUUCGACUCUCACCAGGAGUA